rnacentral:rRNA from 1 species
UAAAGCGGGUGAAAAGCCCGCUCGCCGGAAGACCAAGGGUUCCUGUCCAACGUUAAUCGGGGCAGGGUGAGUCGACCCCUAAGGCGAGGCCGAAAGGCGUAGUCGAUGGGAAACAGGUUAAUAUUCCCGUACUUGGUGUUACUGCGAAGGGGGGACGGAGAAGGCUAUGUUGGCCGGGCGACGGUUGUCCCGGUUUAAGCGUGUAGGCUGGUUUUCCAGGCAAAUCCGGAAAAUCAAGGCUGAGGCGUGAUGACG